CCUGGACCUGGACCUGGACCUAAAGCUCUACCGUAUCCUCCAACCUGCGACCAGACCUGGUGCUACGCUCAGCUUCACUUAUCCACGUCUACAUCAUGGAGCCCACAGUGUGCUGGUGGAGAUCAGUAGAGGAGGUCUAUGAGCGCAAGAAGCUGAGAUAUACGGAGCUUUCUGCCGAUGCAGACAGCGAGGCUGGAAGGUGAAGGUCCGACCAGUGGAAGUAGGCUGCAGAGGACUCGCAGCCACCUGGACAUCCAGGCUUCUCCAGGAGAUAGAAGGGAGGGUCCACCAGCAGGAGAUCAAGGACCUCUCCAGAGCCGCUGAAAAGGGAAGUCAGUGGCUGUGGAUGAAGAGAAAGGAUUCCAGCUGGACCUUCAGCAGGUGGCGCCGCUGUAACAUGAACAUCAGGGCAAACUGGUAAAAACAACUAAUCUUUAUUGGAAACAAGAAAUAAAUACAGAAGAAAAGGACAGAAUCAUCAGCAGCUGGAAACAUCUGGACAAGACCAUGGAAACACCUGGAUUCCACAGGUGACACGAAGGAAAAAAUCACACAGGUAAAUUUAAUUAAAGUAUGAAA
ensembl:lncRNA